rnacentral:tRNA from 1 species
GUGGGUAUAGCUCAGUUGGCUAGAGCGCCAGAUUGUGGCUCUGGAGGCCACCGGUUCAAGACCGGUUAUCCACC